CUUGUCGGUGAUGAGCUCGCAACCACAGUUCAGUAUUCGAGUUUAACGACCAUGAGAAUACUUCACGUGCACUACCAUCUGAGACAAA
ensembl:snoRNA SNORD33 Small nucleolar RNA Z195/SNORD33/SNORD32 family